UACGUAGGGUGCGAGCGUUGUUCGGAAUUACUGGGCGUAAAGGGAGCGUAGGCGGGAUUGUAAGUUAGAAGUUUAAUGCAUGGGCUUAACCCAUGGUCGGCUUUUAAUACUGCAGUUCUUGAGUAUGGGAGAGGGUGAUGGAAUUCCAGGUGUAGCGGUGGAAUGCGUAGAUAUCUGGAAGAACACCAGUAGCGAAGGCGGUCGCCUGGCCCAAUACUGACGCUGAUGCUCGAAAGCUAGGGGAGCAAACAGGAUUAGAUACCCUGGUA
rnacentral:rRNA from 1 species